rnacentral:ncRNA from 1 species
AAACUUGAGAGUUUGAUCAUGGCUCAGAAUGAACGCUGGCGGCAUGCCUAACACAUGCAAGUCGAACGAAGCCUUCGGGUUUAGUGGCGCACGGGUGCGUAACGCGUGGGAAUCUGCCCCUUGGUUCGGAAUAACAGUUGGAAACGACUGCUAAUACCGGAUGAUGACGUAAGUCCAAAGAUUUAUCGCCGAGGGAUGAGCCCGCGUAGGAUUAGGUAGUUGGUGUGGUAAAGGCGCACCAAGCCGACGAUCCUUAGCUGGUCUGAGAGGAUGAUCAGCCACACUGGGACUGAGACACGGCCCAGACUCCUACGGGAGGCAGCAGUGGGGAAUAUUGGACAAUGGGCGAAAGCCUGAUCCAGCAAUGCCGCGUGAGUGAUGAAGGCUUAGGGUUGUAAAGCUCUUUUACCCGGGAUGAUAAUGACAGUACCGGGAGAAUAAGCUCCGGCUAACUCCGUGCCAGCAGCCGCGGUAAUACGGAGGGAGCUAGCGUUAUUCGGAAUUACUGGGCGUAAAGCGCACGUAGGCGGCUUUGUAAGUAAGAGGUGAAAGCCCAGAGCUCAACUCUGGAAUUGCCUUUUAGACUGCAUCGCUUGAAUCAUGGAGAGGUCAGUGGAAUUCCGAGUGUAGAGGUGAAAUUCGUAGAUAUUCGGAAGAACACCAGUGGCGAAGGCGGCUGACUGGACAUGUAUUGACGCUGAGGUGCGAAAGCGUGGGAGCAAACAGGAUUAGAUACCCUGGUAGUCCACGCCU